UGGGGGAUAUUGCACAAUGGGGGAAACCCUGAUGCAGCGACGCCGCGUGAGUGAAGAAGUAUUUCGGUAUGUAAAGCUCUAUCAGCAGGAAAGAUAAUGACGGUACCUGACUAAGAAGCACCGGCUAAAUACGUGCCAGCAGCCGCGGUAAUACGUAUGGUGCAAGCGUUAUCCGGAUUUACUGGGUGUAAAGGGAGCGCAGACGGCAUGGCAAGCCAGAUGUGAAAGGUGGGGGCUCAACCCCCAAGCUGCAUUUGGAACUGUCAAGCUAGAGUAUCGGAGAGGUAAGUGGAAUUCCUAGUGUAGCG
rnacentral:rRNA from 1 species